ACCACAAUGAUCUUGGAGCCAAAGCGUCUGUGGUCACCAUGUAUACACAGACAUAGACGCAUUGUCUUCUACUUCCGAAGAUGAUUUUGUCAGCAGAUUUUUCCCCCUUUGUGCCCACACUGUGGCAAACGUAAGAGGACAUGAAUGGUUGGCGGUGCAGUGUGGUGGAAGUGCAUUGCAGUGGAUCCCAAGGAAACCAGAGGCAAAUUCUGGCUCUGCCACUAGCAAGGCUCUGUGGCUAGGGUACCCCUGUGGAAUUCAGCCUCCUCAUCCGUGAAAUGAAGAAGUGAAACAAAAACAUCUUAAUAUUAUUUCUAACACUUGCUUUCUCUGGAUUCAGCAUCAGAAUAUAUCCAGAUAAGACUGCAAACAACUGAGAGAGCUAAUUCUUUGCUGUUGGUAAUGAGAAUUAGACUACCAUCAAACUCUUCACCCACAACCCUAGAAGCCAGUAGACAGUGGAGGAAUAUCUGCAACCACUAAGAAGAAAGGCUGCCAUCCAGGACUCCUAUUCCCAGGAAAGAUAUCAGUCACUCAUCGAGGGUGAACUCUGAUACUUAGUGUCAAUAAAAACUCUAUGGUGCCCUGGACAUUUCAGAUAACAGAUCAUCCAGAUGAGGAAAACUGAGGCACAGAGAGGUAACGAACCUGGCCCAAGUCAUAUACUUCUACUAAACUGUGAGAAACAUCAGAACAAGAACUGAAGAUGUCUUCGGUUUUUUUUGUUACUGUUUGUUUGAGACGGAGUCUCACUCUGUCACCACGCUGGAGUGCGGUGGCAACCUCUCAGCUCGCUGCAACCUCCACCUCCCGGGUUCAAGCGAUUCUCCUGCCUCAGCCUCCCGAGUAGCUGGGGCUACAGGUGCAUGCCAUCAUGCCCAGCUAAUUUCUGCAUUUUUAGUAGAGACGGGGUUUCACCAUGUUGGCCAGGAUAGUCUCGAUCUCUUGACCUUGUGAUCUGCCCGCCUCAGCCUAAAGAUGCCUUCUUUGCAAGUAUCUUUGCAAUGCUCCACAACUAUUUAUUGAAUGAACAAGUGUUUGAAGAAUCCUUGACUUUUGGAGGAACCAUAUGACCUUGGGAAUGCUCACCAAUGACAGUUUUUCACUCUGAAUCAUAAUGUGAGAGCAGAAAAUUAUCAAAACGUGUUUGUAUUUCACAUUGAAAUUAAUUGAAUAAAUAUAUAAUUCAUCA